rnacentral:lncRNA from 1 species
AGAGGAGGAAGGAAAGCCCUGGCCCAGGAGCACCUGUGAGGCCCGUGUCUGAGCAGCUUCUGUGGGCUCCCUGACGGCCUUUUUCUUUCGGACUUCCUCACCGGAUUCCAAAGGAAAAGGCCGGCUGGCAGCUCCCGAGCCGGCGAGCCGGCAGCCGGCGGGGCUGUGAGGGCUUUCCCAGCACUGCCCGAGGAAGCGCCCUUGCUGACCUCGUCACCAGGGGGAAAGGAUCUGUGCCCCCCACCCAUCCGGAUCCCGACCACCUGGGAUUCAGCGCAUCGAUGUCCCCUCCCCAACCCCUUGUCCUCCCUUUCGUGCCAUUGGGAGAAAUCUCCAAAGUUGCUUUUCUAAUAGAGGCACCAGCUGUGGGCCAGAGCCACCAACCCCUCCCCGGCCCCGCCCCCGCCAUGGGUGGACACAGCAAUCCGGUCCCACUGGGUGGGGUGGGGUUGUGUUCUCAUUAUCAGGUUUCACUUAAGCCUGUGCUCGCAGCGUGGAGAUGGCACAACGCAGAAGCCAGGUGUAGAGGCGGGCGCUCCUCCCCUGGGCUGUGUGAUACCGCCGCGUGCGCGGACGCCCUGGCAGGUACACUGUGUGCUCCUUGUGCUCAUUGGUGGAAGGUGCCUCGGGCUGCUCCCUGAGGUACCCAGCCUCCCAAGCAAGAGCAAAGGCGCAUGUGUCUGAGGAUGUUCCCGUUCCAGCACACAGGCUUUUCAGGGGCGAGGUGGCCUUCGGCCCCGCGGGUGCUGCCCAUGAAGGCACCAACAGCUCCCUUCGAGCCGGUGGGGCUGCCUCAGCUCCCGUCUCUGGACUAAAAGGCACUUAAGCGCUCAGAAAGUGCUUGUGCCAGAUGUGCCAACUAAUAAGCACAUCUAUUUGCAUGGCUCGCUACCCCUCCUGCUAGACGGAGCUGUUGGUAACACACAGGGUCCAAGUUCUCCGAGUCAGCUGGUUAGAAUGUGCACCCGGUUGCACCAUCGUCAACCAAGGUGAAAGGCGAAAAAUGAUCUCCAAGCGGAUACUUGGGCCUCGACGCUUUCAAAACACCAUUUUCUUUUGUUUUUUAAAAUCAGUCCUUGUUACCUACCUGUUUUAUAUACGGUAAUGAGUGUGUGUGAGUGAGUGUGUGUGUGUGUGUGUGUGUGUGUGAGAGAGAGUGUGUGAGUUAGUGUGUGUGUGUGUGUGUGUGAACCCCAACCCCCUAACCUACCCCUCUUGCCCACAUUGCCCCUUUGUAAACCGUGAAUGCAGUUUCAAAAUCUUUGAGACUCUUUCUUCUUUGUAAGUUUUUUUUUAAUCUUUUUUUUAGAUCCCACAUAUUAAUGAUCUCAUAUGGUAUUUGUCUUUGUCUGACUUCACUAAGUGUGAUAAUUUCUAGGUCCAUCCACGUUGCUGCAAAUGGCCUUAUUUCAUUCUUUUUUAUGGCUCAUGUUCCAUUGCAUCCAUGUACCACAUCUUUUUGAUCCAGUCCUCUGUUGAUGGACAUUUAGGUGGCUUCCAUGUCUUGGCAAUUGUAAAUAGCGCUGUAAUGAACAGUGGGAUGCAUGUAUAUUUUUGAGGUACAGUUUUAUCUGAAUAGAUGCCCAGGAAUGGGACUGCUGGAUCAUACGGUAGUUCUGUAUUUUAGUUUUUUAAGGAACCUCCAUACUGUUCUCCACAGUGGUUGUACCAAUUUACCUUCCCACCAGCAGUGCAGGAGAAUUCCCUUUUCACCACAUGCUCUCCAGCAUUUACUGUUUGUAGCUUUUUGAUGAUGGCCAUUCUGACUAAUGUGAGAUGAAACCUCAUAGUAGUUUUGACUUGUAUUUCUCUAAUAAUUAGUGAUGCUGAGCAUCUUUUUAUGCGUUUUUUGGCUUGUCUGUCUGUCUUUGGAGAAAUGUCUGUUUAGAUCUUCUGCCCAAUUUUUUAUUGGGCUCUUGGGUUUUUUGUUUUGUUUUGUUUUGUUUGUUUGUUGAGAUGAGCUACAUGAGUUAGUAUAUUUUGGAGAUUAAUCCCUUGUCAGUUGCUUCCUUUGCAAAUAUUUUCUCCCCUUCUGUGGGUUGUCUUUUCAUUUUGUUUAUGGUUUCAUUUUCUGUACAAAAACUUUUAAUUAGGUCCCAUUUGUUUAUUUCUGUCAAAACACUAUUUUAAAAGUGAGGCCCAGAGUUCCCACUGUGGUGCAAUGGGGUGGCCUCUCUGUAGCAUCAGGAUGCAGGUUCAGUCCCCACCUGGUGCAGCGGGUUAAGGAUCCGGUAUUGCCAUUGACAGGUUGCAGCUUCUGCUCAGAUCUGAGCCCUUGAUUUUGCCUCUGUGGCAAAGGGUAAAGCAGCGGCCCCUGGAAGUCUUCUCCACCCACCUUAUUGUUGGCUUUGAAGCGAGGUGCCGGGAUCAGUUUUUAGACACUGAAAUGGACAGACCAUUUUAAUGGGGUUUUGUUUAAACAUUUCUUGACUCCUUCGCCCACAGCUUAAACAACCCAGGGAUGGUUAGAUUGUUACUGUGUUGGGGGACGAACAGCCUAAGGAAAAAUAUGCAAAAUCUCUAAUUCUUCAUCCGUAAUAUGUAAGAGGUGGAACAAAUAAUUGCUUUUGUCCCUUGUUAGAUCACAAACGACAGGAAUCAAUAGGACGCAAGCUUAGGAAAUGCUAGAUUCUGCUUUACCCAAGCAAGAGAUGUGGCCCGAAGCCAUCCCCGUGGUGAAUCCCUGGAAAAAAGAGAGAGAGAGAAGGCGCUCAAAGACAGGGCGUCCCUCAGGAAACCAGCCCCCCCGUGAGUCCGUGUAAACACCUGUCCGUGGAGAGGGACUGCCGGGGCUGGUUGAUAUUCACGGAUCUCUCUAAACAAUCUCCGGAUUUUUGUUUGUUUUUCUUUCACUUUGUACUCUUUUGUUUUUUAAAAAGUUCCCGUCUAAGUGAUGUCCUAAAAAUGAGCAUGGCUGUGUCCAGGAAAUUACAGCAUCGUAACACUUAGAAACAAGAACAUGCUUCAGAAUAAAGUCACCAGCCAUCACAUGCCAUGGCGAUUUGGCUGCCAAACUCCUCACUGCUUGUUAGAACGAGGCUGUGCGCACAAAGCUCAGAGAGCGUUUAAACCUUGCAGUGAAUUUGCCUUGGUUGACCUGAUGGCUCCAGUACCUUUUGUGGUGACAGUCUGCUGUUUCUCCAUUUGCUCUAACUUCAGCACUGCCACAUGACAGAGAAGGAGGAAAUGGCACAGCCAGAAGGAGCCAGCGUUCCCACUGUUGCUCAGUGGAUCAAGAAUCUGACUGCAGGAGUUCCUGUCGUGGCGAAGUGGAAAUGAAUCCGACCAGGAACCAUGAGGUAGCGGGUUCGAUCAGUGGGUUAAGGAUCCGUGUUGCCGUGAGUUGUGGUGUAGGUCGCAGACGUGGCUUGGAUCUGAUCUUGCUCCCGCUGUGGGGUAGACCAGCAGCUAUAGCUCCGAUUAGACCCCUAGCCUGGAAACGUCCAUAUGC